CCAGUGAGAAUAAUAUCAUCAACAUAAAGCAAUAAGAUAAGAAUACCUAAAAAAGUGCAAAGAAUAAACAUAGAAGGAUCUGUUUUACUAUAAAUAAAACCUUGGGUAUGAAGGAACGUACUAUAGCGAUGAAACUAAGCAUGGGAUGCUUGCUUUAGACCAUAAAUGGCUUAAGUUAAUUUGUAAACAUGAUUGGGAU
rnacentral:lncRNA from 1 species